rnacentral:lncRNA from 1 species
AUAUCUGCAGUCGUGGGCAGCCUUCAAUCCAUAGUCCCUGCCGAGGACGGAGAUCAAGUAAUACCCUCGGCAGAGACUCUAAUUCCGGACAGUUGUGGAUGGAUAGGUAUCGAAGCGACCGGAGCUCUGUAAGCCAAUCCGGUAAAGCCGUCAGGCUCGAACAAUCUUCUAUUGCUACAUCUUCUAGCACUCCUGAUGGCGUUCUCGCCAUCAACGAGCUCAAUUCCUCGCAGCAGCAAAUGCUCAACGUCGUAGCAGCCAACACCGUCGCCGAGACUGGACGCAUAGAGUGUCCGCCAAAUAUCCUCAACAUCCGAAGCGUCCCAAGGUCUUGCAGUCGUCCAGACAAAUUC